UACGGGGGGGGCAAGCGUUGUUCGGAAUUACUGGGCGUAAAGGGCUCGUAGGCGGCCAACUAAGUCAGACGUGAAAUCCCUCGGCUUAACCGGGGAACUGCGUCUGAUACUGGAUGGCUUGAGUUUGGGAGAGGGAUGCGGAAUUCCAGGUGUAGCGGUGAAAUGCGUAGAUAUCUGGAGGAACACCGGUGGCGAAGGCGGUUCUCUGGGCCUGACCUGACGCUGAGGAGCGAAAGCGUGGGGAGCGAACAGG
rnacentral:rRNA from 1 species